AUUGAACGCUGGCGGCAGGCCUAACACAUGCAAGUCGAACGAGUGGCGGACGGGUGAGUAAUGUCUGGGAAACUGCCUGAUGGAGGGGGAUAACUACUGGAAACGGUAGCUAAUACCGCAUACCAUCGGAUGUGCCCAGAUGGGAUUAGCUAGUAGGUGGGGUAAAGGCUCACCUAGGCGACGAUCCCUAGCUGGUCUGAGAGGAUGACCAGCCCCCCUGUGACUUAGACACGGGCCCGACUCCUACGGGAGGCAGCAGUGGGGAAUAUUGCACCAUGGGCGCCAGCCCGAUGGCGCCAUGCCGCGUGUAUGAAGAAGGCCUUCGGGUUGUAAAGUCCUUUCAGCCGGGAGGCGUUACCCGCAGAAGAAGCACCGGCUAACUCCGUGCCAGCAGCCGCGGUAAUUC
rnacentral:rRNA from 1 species